GAAGCGAGAGAGCGAUCUGGNGCAAACCCCAAAAAAUAAACGUCCCAGUUCGGAUUGUAGUCUGCAACUCGACUACAUGAAGCUGGAAUCGCUAGUAAUCGCGAAUCAGCAUGUCGCGGUGAAUACGUUCCCGGGUCUUGUACACACCGCCCGUCACACCAUGGGAGUCGGUAACGCCCGAAGUCAGUGACCCAACCGGAAGGAGGGAGCUGCCGAAGGCGGGACUGGUAACUGGGGUGAAGUCGUAACAAGGUAAC
rnacentral:rRNA from 1 species